UGGGCUGUCCGCCACAGCCUUCAAGGAAAAGAGGUUUGCAUUACUACCUGCCUCAGUGACAUAAUUUCCGGCUUUUACUGUGAUCUGGGCUGGUUUUCGUCUGAUGAACUUUUUUUUCCUAGUUAUAUUCCCUGGAAGGGUUUCUUCUUGGUUUAUGCUUUGUAAUGGGGAGAGGAUACGACGGUAGCAGCAACGAUGAUGUGUUCAGGCGGUCUUUGUGUUAUUUUUGUCUCUUUGUUCAGCGAUGUCAAGGAAGAGCUGAGGGGGGUACAGCAGAUCUGUUCCUGUGAGCUUGGUACUGAUGCAGCGUAAGUUGUGUGGAUGAUGAAAGUACGGGGGAGGAGAUCGGGCGUGUUGGUAGAACCGGCCUUAGGUGCAUCAGUCAGGACCUUCUCUCGGCCAAGCAAACAGGAGAAUAGCUACCAUGCUUGGCAUUAGAUGCCUGUGGGGAGAAGGGUUUUUUUGAUGACUUCACUACUAGGUCUGUCCUGACAGCGUUUCAUGUACGUGAGAGAUGAGAAAAAGGCCUUUCAUAGCAAACUCGGAGUGAAAUAAAAAGGAGCCUUUCAUACUCUUUGAUGUGAAAGUGCUUGAGAGCCAGGAGAAGCCUAGGGCUGAGUUCGCUCUUGCUUCCCUUUGUUUUUUUGCAUUUGCCAUGUUGUUCCCUUGCUACCUGUAACGCUCAUGUUACUAGAGGAGUGACAUUCAGGUCCCCUGCAUCAGUGCCUAUAUGAUGGAAACUUACCCAAAUGUAUCAUUUCCACCAGCCAUGCAAGAGGUCACGUAAUCACGUUGCCUCCAAAGUGGUUUGGGUUGUGCUGGUGAGGGCUUCCUGCCAGCAGGACUCUCGCACCAGCAAUCAAAACCUGGAGGUUCAGCAUGUCUCAGGGCAGAAAUCUUAGCCCAGGCCUAGGGUUACAGUUAGGGCUAGGACUAGGGUGAGGAGAGUGAGAAGUAGGAAACCUAUAGGCACUAGAUCGGUGCCUAGGCAUGGUUCCUUCUAGCGUCAUAGCUUGCUGUUGUGCCCUUUUUUUCCCCCCCUUGUGAUGCCACGAUCUGCACAUAACUGUUCCACUCACAACCCCUCUGCCUGGAGCGUGGCUGCCAAAAGGAAUCUGGAAGAGAAGGAAAAUUGAGUCAAUUUUCUGCUCUGCUUGAGGCUUGGCAGGUCGGCUUCAUGCUGUAACACUGACGCUCUUGACCGCCACUGUUUAGCUCCUCUCAUAGCGGGUAGAAAAGGGAGUGUGAAGUCAGGACUCCUGGGCUCCCUUUUUUACAUUGAAACAGACAGUAAGCUCCUGGUACCUUGUUCUGAUCACUCCUAAUCACCUUAAACUUCAUCCCCUCCUUUUAGAGCCUAACAUGGGUAGAGGUAGCUGCGUGGGGAGAAAACUGAGUGGCUGCUGAAAGUCUCUUGUUUGGGCUACUGGGAAGUUGGACAUUUUCUUCUGCUGGAGCUGAUGUGCCAAAGUGUAAAUUUCUUCUCAGGUGUGGUCUGGCUCAACAUGAGUCCUAAAAGAAGCCAUGACAAAACAAGGGAAGAAAGAUGAAAAGGUCAGCCUGCUUCAGUCAGAGCACCAGGACUGUGUUAGAUGGGAAGGAAGAAUGAAUUCCAGGAGGAAUCUCCACUGAUCAUGCCUCUUCCUGGCCUCUAGACAUUCAAACCUACAACGAAGAACUUCAUAGCUGAUUUUGACAAUUAAGCAAAAAGAGUGAUGGACUUUCUCAGUGUCCCUUCAGCUUUUGGUAGAGACGAUCACAGCUGAAUCUAAGAUGGAGGUAAGGCUUAGUUUUCC